rfam:Salmo salar isolate Sally breed double haploid chromosome ssa03, whole genome shotgun sequence.
UCCUUUGAAGCUCAGUUGGUAGAGCAUGGCGCUUGUAACGCCAGGGUAGUGGAUUCCAUUCCAGAGAC